rnacentral:rRNA from 1 species
UAAGCAUAUCAAUAAGCGGAGGAAAAGAAACCAACAGGGAUUGCCCUAGUAACGGCGAGUGAAGCGGCAACAGCUCAAAUUUGAAAUCUGGCGCAAGCCCGAGUUGUAAUUUGUAGAGGAUGCUUCUGGGUAGCGACCGGUCUAAGUUCCUUGGAACAGGACGUCAUAGAGGGUGAGAAUCCCGUAUGUGACCGGCCCGCACCCUUUACGUAGCUCCUUCGACGAGUCGAGUUGUUUGGGAAUGCAGCUCUAAAUGGGAGGUAAAUUUCUUCUAAAGCUAAAUACCGGCCAGAGACCGAUAGCGCACAAGUAGAGUGAUCGAAAGAUGAAAAGUACUUUGGAAAGAGAGUUAAAAAGCACGUGAAAUUGUUGAAAGGGAAGCGCCUGCAACCAGACUUCGCGGCAGUGUUCCGCCGGUCUUCUGACCGGUUCAUUCUCUGUCGCGAGGCCAUCAUCGUCUGGGCCCGCCGGAUAAGACCUUAGGAAUGUAGCUCACCUUCGGGGGAGUGUUAUAGCCUAGGGUGAUGCGGCGAGGCUCGGGCGAGGUCCGCGCUUCGGCAAGGAUGAUGGCGUAAUGGUUGUCGGCGGCCCGUCUUGAAACACGGACCAAGGAGUCUAACAUCUAUGCGAGUGUUCGGGUGUCAAACCCCUACGCGUAAUGAAAGUGAACGGAGGUGGGAACCGCAAGGUGCACCAUCGACCGAUCCUGAUGUCCUCGGAUGGAUUUGAGUAAGAGCAUAGCUGUUGGGACCCGAAAGAUGGUGAACUAUGCCUGAAUAGGGUGAAGCCAGAGGAAACUCUGGUGGAGGCUCGCAGCGGUUCUGACGUGCAAAUCGAUCGUCAAAUUUGGGUAUAGGGGCGAAAGACUAAUCGAACCAUCUAGUAGCUGGUUCCUGCCGAAG